GGAGGGAGGCGGCAUCAGCCAUCUGGUCCAGAGGGUGGCUGCUUUGGGUGAAGGAAGUAGGGUUCAAAUCCCAGAUCUUCCACUUACAACCCCAGAGACCCUGGGUGAGCAACUGAGGCUCCAUUUCCCCCUCUGAAGAAUGGGGCCGUGUGGGGACCACAUCACUCAGAGUUGGCCGCGAGCGGAGUGUGAGAUGGUGCGUGACAAGCACCUGUUCUCCGCAAAGGGUGCGGUUUCCAGCCUGGCUGGUGCUCGGGCUCACAGAGGGGCUUCAGAGGCAAGGCCUGCACGUGGGAGCCUACCGCAGAAGUGGGGGCUGUCUCCUCUCCCUGAGAGAGAGCCUGGUCUUGGCCACCCCUGCCUCCAUGCCCCACACCAGCUCACGUACAGGAGAGGCAUUUAAUGAAGGUGCACAGAAACCACCACAAGAGCUAGACCGGCUCAUGGUAGAAGCCCUGGGAAGACAGCAAUCUAGACACUCCUCCUCUCUGUCCCAGCAUACGCUGAUGAGUCCUACUGUGUGCCCGGACACUGUGGCCAAAGCUGGUGAAGCAGCCAUUUUGUACCUUAAGGAUGAAAGCCCCACACUUGGGUUGGUGGAGCAGGAAGCCGGAGCCCGAGGGGCAUCGGGAGAGGCUGCCCCGGGCCUGACUGCAUCCUGCAGGACUGUCUGGGUUCUGUGCUUAAGCCAUCUCAGUCGGGGUUCUGUGCCAUGAAGCUAACAGCAAACCCUGACUCAUCACCAGGCCACCCAGGAGACUCGUGGCGCUUCGCACAAGGGCCAGCGCAGGGCAGCUGCUUAAUAAACAUGAGUGAGCACUGCAGUGAUGGAUGGAUGAGGCAGACCAGACCUGCCAGGUGCCCUGCGCCGCACACAGCAGCACCUAAACUGCAAAGACAUAAAGGGGGUAGUGACGGACAAUCCCAUCAGAUCGAGGAGGCCUGGGGUCCCGGCCAGCCUCCCCUAGGCCAUGCUGUGUGACCCCGAGCAAGUGCCUACCCAUCUCUGUGCCUCAGUUUUUCUAUCUGAAAAAUAAAUGUUUGGGACUUUG